rnacentral:lncRNA from 10 species
GAAAACCAGGAUUCAUCAAUCUGAGGGCACAGAAAGAACCAGUAUGAAUGGCAAAGCAAUUCUACAACUCCAAACUCCAACGCCAACCCUAUUCCUCAAAUAAUCUCUUUGCAAUAAGGGCCUUGGAGUCAAAGCUAAAAGCUUAAGCUUUGCCUCAGAUCUACCUGGGAUUAAGCCCAGGUUGCAUUUCUUUUUUCUGGAAGCACAUCUUUUAAAAGAUAUUUACAUGAAGGUCUACCAGAUAUGAAAUUGGAGUUCUAGAAAGGGAGAAGAUGAGGAUGGGGAAGAAACAAUAUUUCAAGAAGAAAUCUCUCAAGAAUUUGCCAAGUCUGACCCAAAACAUCAAGCAGUUGAUUUAAGAAGUGUAUAAGCCCAAGCUGGGUAAAUACAAUGAAAACCACACUUUGGCACACCAGAGUCAAACUGAGGGAAAUCAAAACAAUAAUAAAACAUUGAAAAUACACAUUACCUUCAAGCAACUACAAUAAGAUAAAUAGCUAAUUUCCUAAAACAAAUUAUGGAAGCCAGAAAACAAUUUAAUGACAUCUUUAAUGAUAAAAUUACUGCCAGUUUACAAUUCUCUGCCAACUAAAAAUUUACUCUGGAAUUGAAGGUGAAAUAAAGAUAUUUCUAGACAAAAUAAGCCUGAGAGGUUUCAUCAUUGACAAAUAUUACAGUAGGUACUACAGAAUUCUUCAGGCAGAAGGAAAAUGAUCAAGAAAGAAAUACAGAAAUGGAGGAGGGAAAAGCAAGUCAGUGAUGUUGGUAAAUACAUGGACACAUUUAAAAUAUUAAUUAUAAAAUAAUAUUUUGUGAUAUUUACAAUAUAUGUUGAAUUAAAAUGCAUGACAACAAUAACAUAAAAAGCUAAUGGGGGUUAAUAGAAUUAAAAAGUAUAACACUUUCUCAUUGCCUAUAAAGUGAUAAGUAUGCAGGUCUAAAUAUAUCUAAAACAGCUCUUUCGAUAGAUAUAAAAAUAUAAGAUAUAACUUAAUUGGCAACAUUUUUCUUCUGCCCAGAAGUAUAGGAAACAAUGGUACGUUUUACAACUGAUUGCAUCAAUAAAUUAUGAUUCAGAAAGUUUGCUACAUAAAGUGAUGACAUAAAAAAAUAUAAAGUGCUCCUUCUUUAUUCUGGACUUGGAGCUUGCUAUCUAUUGCUAAACACCAGUUAUAUUGCAACCUUUGGAAA